AAAGGUACUCCGGGGAUAACAGGCUGAUACCGCCCAAGAGUUCAUAUCGACGGCGGUGUUUGGCACCUCGAUGUCGGCUCAUCACAUCCUGGGGCUGAAGUAGGUCCCAAGGGUAUGGCUGUUCGCCAUUUAAAGUGGUACGCGAGCUGGGUUUAGAACGUCGUGAGACAGUUCGGUCCCUAUCUGCCGUGGGCGUUGGAAGAUUGAGAGGGGUUGCUCCUAGUACGAGAGGACCGGAGUGAACGCACCACUGGUGUUCGGGUUGUCAUGCCAAUGGCAUUGCCCGGUAGCUAAGUGCGGAAGAGAUAAGCGCUGAAAGCAUCUAAGCGCGAAACUUGCCUCGAGAUGAGUCUUCCCUUGGACCUUGAGUCCACUAAAGGAACGUUUAAGACUAAGACGUUGAUAGGCUGGGUGUGUAAGUGCAGCGAUGCAUUGAGCUAACCAGUACUAAUGAACCGUGAGGCUUAACCUUACAACACCGAAGGUGUUUUAG
rnacentral:rRNA from 1 species